ACUGAGCGGCGGACGGGUGAGUAACGCGUGGGUAACCUGCCUCAUACAGGGGGAUAACAGUUGGAAACGGCUGCUAAUACCGCAUAGGCGCACAGUACCGCAUGGUACGGUGUGAAAAACUCCGGUGGUAUGAGAUGGACCCGCGUCUGGUUAGGUAGUUGGUGGGGUAACGGCCUACCAAGCCGACGAUCAGUAGCCGACCUGAGAGGGUGACCGGCCACAUUGGGACUGAGACACGGCCCAA
rnacentral:rRNA from 1 species